GCCCCAUCCUGAAGACAGUAGUUAAAACAUGGACAGAAAUGCGUCAUAUACGACGUUCUGUGACGGCUUCAGAGUGCCUUCCUUUUACCUUGCCGAGGGAUGAAGCUAAAACCAUUUCCAUCCAAAAUGCCCAACGCGGUCUCUGGAGUCGCCACAAUUAAAAAAAAAUUAUAAAGCAAAUGACAGAAAGCAAGGCAAGCUUUCAGUUCUACAACAAAACCAACCACUACUUCAUUAGCGUGGAGUGAGAGAUGAGCCCCUACUACUGAAACAAUGUGGGCUAGGAAUUGAUCUGCUUGCACAGAGCUCACAUUCAAUAAAGCUUUAAAAUAUC